UAGGAAAGCUCCCAGACCAACAGAUGGGU
rnacentral:piRNA from 1 species